UACGGAGGGUGCAAGCGUUAUCCGGAUUCACUGGGUUUAAAGGGUGCGUAGGCGGGUAUAUAAGUCAGUGGUGAAAGCUCCGGGCUUAACUUGGAAACUGCCAUUGAUACUGUAUAUCUUGAAUGUCGUUGAGGUAAGCGGAAUGUUGCAUGUAGCGGUGAGAUGCUUAGAUAUGUUACAGAACACCAAUUGUGAAGACAGCUUACUAAGCGAUGAUUGACGCUGAGGCACGAAAGCGUGGGGAGCAAACAGG
rnacentral:rRNA from 1 species